rnacentral:rRNA from 1 species
CUCGUGCCGUGAGGUGUCGGGUUAAGUCCCAUAACGAGCGCAACCCUUAUCGUUAGUUGCCAUCUGGUAAUGCAGGGACUCUAGCGAAACUGCCACCGUAAGGUGAGAGGAAGGUGGGAUGACGUCAAAUCAGCAGGCCCUUAUGUCCAGGGCUACACACGUGUUACAAUGGUCGGUACAGAAGGGCAGCUACCUGGUGACAGGAUGCUAAUCUCGAAAACCGGUCUCAGUUCGGAUCGAAGUCUGCAACUCGACUUCGUGAAGCUGGAUUCGCUAGUAAUCGCGCAUCAGCUAUGGCGCGGUGAAUACGUUCCCGGGCCUU